UAGCUGGUCAACUAAGACAGUUACAGACAGGCUAUGAUCUUAUAUGUUGUCAAUGAUGGACAACAUAUAAGAUCAUAGCCUGUCUGUAACUGUCUUAGUUUGUGUAAGU
rnacentral:miRNA from 1 species